ACCCAGCUGACGAGUCCCAAACAGGACGAAACGCGCGUCCUGAAU
rfam:Schistosoma haematobium scaffold152_1, whole genome shotgun sequence.